rnacentral:rRNA from 1 species
CACGGAGUUAGCCGGUGCUUAUUCGUGAGAUACCGUCAUAAUCUUCUCUCACAAAAGGAGUUUACAAUCCUAAAACCUUCAUCCUCCACGCGGCGUUGCUGCUUCAGGGUUUCCCCCAUUGAGCAAUAUUCCCUACUGCUGCCUCCCGUAGGAGUCUGGACCGUGUCUCAGUUCCAGUGUGUCCGAUCACCCUCUCAGGUCGGCUACGUAUCGUUGCCUUGGUAAGCCAUUACCCCACCAACUAGCUAAUACGGCGCGGGUCCAUCUAUAAGUGAUAGUAAAACCAUCUUUCACUUUAGAACCAUGCGGUUCUAAAUAUUAUCCGGCAUUAGCCCCGGUUUCCGGAGUUAUUCCAGUCUUAUAGGUAGGUUACCCACGUGUUACUCACCCGUCCGCCGCUAACGUCAAAGGAGCAAGCUCCUUAUCUGUUCGCUCGACUUGCAUGUAUUAGGCACGCCGCCAGCGUUCAUCCUGAGCCAGGAUCAAACUCU